rnacentral:misc_RNA from 1 species
UUGUAUACUCUGUUGCUUUGGCGGGCCCACUGGGCUCCCCCAGUCGCCGAGGGGCCCUGUGCCCCUGGGCCCGUGCCCGCCAGAGCGCCCUUGAACCCUCAUGAAGAUGGACUGUCUGAGCGUGAUUGAUAAUAAUCAAAACUUUCAACAAUGGAUCUCUUGGUUCCGGCAUCRAUGAAGAACGCAGCGAAAUGCGAUAAGUAAUGUGAAUUGCAGAAUUCCGUGAAUCAUCKAAUCUUUGAACGCACAUUGCGCCCCCUGGCAUUCCGGGGGGCAUGCCUGUCCGAGCGUCAUUUCUGCCCUCAAGCACGGCUUGUGUGUUGGGUGUGGUCCCCCCGGGGACCUGCCCGAAAGGCAGUGGCGACGCCCGCCUAGGUCCUCGAGCGUAUGGGGCUCUGUCACCCGCUCGGGAAGGGUCUACGGGCGUUGGUC